rnacentral:rRNA from 1 species
AUGGAGAAGUACGAGAAGCUGGAGAAGGUCGGGGAGGGCACCUACGGCAAGGUGUACAAGGCGCAGGACAAGGCGACGGGCCAGGUGGUGGCGCUCAAGAAGACCCGCCUGGAGAUGGACGACGAAGGGAUCCCGCCCACCGCGCUCCGUGAGAUCUCCCUCCUCCGCCUCCUCUCCAGCUCCCUCUACGUCGUCCGCCUCCUCGCCGUCGAGCAGGCCACCAAGGGCGGCGGCGCCGGCAGUGGAGGGAAGCCCGUCCUCUACCUCGUCUUCGAGUUUCUUGACACUGACCUCAAGAAGUUCGUCGACGCCUACCGCCGUGGGCCCGCCCCUAAGCCGCUCCCAACGCAGGUCGUCAAGAGUUUCUUGUAUCAGUUAUGCAAAGGAAUUGCACACUGCCAUGGCCAUGGGGUCCUUCAUCGGGAUUUAAAGCCCCAAAAUCUAUUGGUUGACAAGGAGAAGAUGAUACUGAAAAUUGCAGAUCUUGGGUUAAGUAGAGCUUUUACUGUUCCUAUGAAAAGCUACACCCAUGAGAUCGUGACGCUUUGGUAUAGAGCUCCUGAAGUACUGCUUGGAGCAACACAUUACUCAACCAGUGUUGAUAUUUGGUCCAUCGGAUGCAUCUUUGCCGAGAUGGUCAGAAAACAGGCUCUUUUCCCUGGUGACUCUGAGUUACAGCAACUGCUUCACAUUUUCAAGCUGUUGGGAACUCCUACCGAGGAGGAUUGGCCUGGAGUAACUGCUCUGAGGGACUGGCAUGAGUUUCCUCAGUGGAAAGCACAAAGAUUGACACGUGCAGUCCCUACACUGGAACCAGAAGGAAUUGACCUGCUAUCGAAAAUGCUCCAGUUCGACCCGGCGAACAGGAUCUCAGCCAAAGCCACGCUAGAGCAUCCCUAUUUCAACAGCCUCGACAAGUCUCAGUUCUAG